rnacentral:rRNA from 1 species
AUACUUAGGGUGCAAGCGUUAAUCGGAAUUACUGGGCGUAAAGGGCAUGUAGGCGGUUUGGUCCGUCGUUGGUGAAAGGCCCCAGCUUAACUGGGAGCCGCUGACGAUACCACCAGACUAGAGGGCAGCAGAGGUGAGUGGAAUUCCCGGCGUAGCGUUGAUAUGCGUAGAGUUCGGGAGGAACACUAGUGGCGAAGGCGACUCACUGGGCUGUCCCUGACGCUAAGGUGCGAAAGCGUGGGGAGCAAACAGGAUUAGAAACCCCGGUAGUCC